rnacentral:tRNA from 1 species
GCGGCGGUCGUCCAGUCUGGUCUAGGACACAGGGUUGUGGUCCCUGAAACUCGGGUUCAAAUCCCGACCGCGGCC